rnacentral:rRNA from 1 species
GAUGAACGCUGGCGGCGUGCUUAACACAUGCAAGUCGAACGGUGAAGGCGGAGCUUGCUCUGCUGGAUCAGUGGCGAACGGGUGAGUAACACGUGAGCAAUCUGCCCCUGACUCUGGGAUAAGCGCUGGAAACGGCGUCUAAUACUGGAUACGAGCUGCGAAGGCAUCUUCAGCAGCUGGAAAGAAUUUCGGUCAGGGCUAAGCUCGCGGCCUAUCAGCUUGUUGGUGAGGUAAUGGCUCACCAAGGCGUCGACGGGUAGCCGGCCUGAGAGGGUGACCGGCCACACUGGGACUGAGACACGGCCCAGACUCCUACGGGAGGCAGCAGUGGGGAAUAUUGCACAAUGGGCGAAAGCCUGAUGCAGCAACGCCGCGUGAGGGACGACGGCCUUCGGGUUGUAAACCUCUGUUAGCAGGGAAGAAGCGAAAGUGACGGUACCUGCAGAAAAAGCGCCGGCUAACUACGUG